rnacentral:rRNA from 1 species
CGGGGUGAGUAACGCGUGGGUAACCUACCCUGUACACACGGAUAACAUACCGAAAGGUAUGCUAAUACAGGAUAAUAUAUUUGAGAGGCAUCUCUUGAAUAUCAAAGGUGAGCCAGUACAGGAUGGACCCGCGUCUGAUUAGCUAGUUGGUAAGGUAACGGCUUACCAAGGCGACGAUCAGUAGCCGACCUGAGAGGGUGAUCGGCCACAUUGGAACUGAGACACAGUCCAA